UUAGAUAUCUGUUGCGAUGGUUUCUAAUGAAUGACAUCAUAACUCUGUUGGUGAUGAUGGGUAUGACAAUUUCGACUAUGCUGCCCAACCCAUUAUAAUAGAGGUGCAACACUAAGUAGCUACUACAGCACAGUGGCGUAGCGUAGUGGGGGCGGCAGGGGCGGCCCGCCCCGGGCGGCACUUUUUAGGGGGCGGCAAAUUUUAAACAAUAAAUAAUAAAAAUAUUUUGUAAAUAUUUCAACCAUUUUAUAUUUUUUUCGCAACUAGAGAUCGGAGAAAGUAGUGAUAGUGGGGAUGGAACCUUUAACGAGUGGUCCUGCCCCGAGAGGGGCACCUGAGGCAAGAAUCCGACGAUUCGUCGGAACCAGUAAUUGGUAGGGUAAAAAAGGUGAAGGCGAAAUCAAGUUCCCACGAUGUGGGACUUGAUGAAGCUCAACGCCAACUGAGGACGUCUCUGGCGCAAGCUAAGCGGGUGGAGGCGUAAAAGGACCUGGAGGAGAAGGUCGCCGCCAAGGAGCGCGCAACCGGUGCCGUAAGGUCCAGGGCCGGCUACGGGGCUUUCAACGUCCUCUACGCAGACCACUCAGUGGCUGAGCUAGCGCAAAUGGCGCUAGAGGAUAAUGAGGAAAUUUUGGAGGUGGCCUCCAAGUCCUCCAACCUGAAGGGAUCGGCUGCUGCCGACAGACGAAAUAGGAGGCGAUCUGUUGCUGCCGGCGGUCAUACGCAAGAUGGUCGACAGCGCGGAGUCGUGGGACGCGGUAGUGUCCUUCUGCGAGGAUGUGAUGUCACAGAAGGAAACUGCGGAGCGGGAGAGGGAGAUCUCGACUCCCUUCCCCGCCCGCAGUAGGCGUAGGGUUAGGUUUGGGUUAGGUUUGGGUUAGGUUUGGGUUAGGUUUGGGUUAGGUUUGGGUUAGGUUUGGGUUAGGUUUGGGUUAGGUUUGGGUUAGGUUUGGGUUAGGUUUGGGUUAGGUUUGGGUUAGGUUUGGGUUAGGUUUGGGUUAGGUUUGGGUUAGGUUUGGGUUAGGUUUGGGUUAGGUUUGGGUUAGGUUUGGGUUAGGUUUGGGUUAGGUUUGGGUUAGGUUUUGGUUAGGUUUGGGUUAGGUUUAGGUUAGGUUUGGGUUAGGUUAGGUUUGGUCCGAACCCAGACAUGACUAACCCAAACCUAACCCAAACCUGAUAUCUGGUUCAAACCAAUUUUCGUUGUUAGUUUCUAUUGAAAUCUACAGCAUAUAUUUAUUUUUGUUUUCUCCUUCUCUUAUUUUAAAAGUUAGAGGUUAGACACUCAUUAAAGUUAAAAGUUAGACACUCAUUUUUCCACUUUAGAAGCGUCUAACUUUCAAACGGUUAAUUUUGACGAAAAAUGGUUUUAAGAACCAUAGACACCCAUUAUGGAUAUGUUAGCUGAAAAAUUUUUUUUUUAAUCAGUUCCAUGUAUGAAGUGCCUCCUUUUAAUUUUUAAAUUUAU